CCUGAGCAUAUUUUUGAAGAUGAAAAUCUAUAAAUUCUGAUAAUUUGGAUGUUAAAGAAUCUAUUCCACUAAUGAUUGGUCUACCUGGAGGACUGGUUGUCGAUUUAUGCACUUUAGGCAAAAAAUUAAAAGUCGGAAUUCUAGGAGUAUCUGAAUAUAGGAAUGAGAAAUUCUUUUCGUCAAUAAUACCUUCUUCCUUAUAUUUAGUAAGUAGCAACUUUAACUCACCAUUAAAAGUCGCAUUCGGGUUAGAGGAUAAUUUUUUAUAAGUGGUAGUGUCACCCAAAAGUCUAUUAGAUUCUUUGAGAUAAUAUUCUGUGGACAUGACCACAGUACCUCCUCCCUUAUCUGCACUCUUAAUAGUGAUAUCUCUACGAUCUUUCAAACAUUCUAAUGUUUUGUUUUCUUCUCUGGUUAAAUUAAAAUUUCUCAUUUUAAAAUCCAAUUUAUUUAUAUCUUUAUUAACCAUUUUUGAAAAGGCCUCUAUCUGGUGUCCUCUUUCAUUAGGGAAAAAAGUAGAUUUCGGUUUAAAAGUGGAUUUUGGGGAACUAUUUAAUUUAUAAUUUCUGUUGUAAAAAC